AGCCCCGUUCAUUAUCCUCUAACCCAUAGGCUCUGUGAGCACAGUCGCUGUUAAGGGAGUGGGGAGGAUGGGAGGCCAGAGCCCACGUACUCCUGGGCCCUGCUCUCUCUUUUCUGCACCUCCCGGCACACAGCGUUGGAGUCUGUUACAGUACAUGGCAUGCCACAAACUCAGGUCAGAAACAACAUGGUUAAAAAAUCUCACACAUCCUGGUUUAGUGUUUCCAGUCCCCACUGUUGAAAGUCACACUUUGCUUUCUCUCUUUGCUUUGAUUGACACACACACACACAUACAACACACACACACACAUACAACACACACACACACAUACAACACACACACACACACACAUCAAUUUUGGGAUACAAUAGCAGUUUUAACUGCAGACGGUAGUCAUUGGAUUAUUUUUGUUUUAAAAUGAAUAUUUGAUCUUCUACAAAAAAACAAAACAGAAAACAGCUGCUGAGUCCCCAGGGCACAGCAGAGCUGGCCCAGUGGCCCAUCGGCCACCUUGCCAUCUCCUUCACUAGACUGACCCACCUGUCUUUAGAACCAACAUGUCUGAAGGGGUGGCCUCCACAUGAAGUGGGUGUAAGGCACCAACACCCCAUGGCCAGGAACAGCAACUUCAACUUCUGUGGGUUCUAAAGCCCACUCCUGGGUCAGAAGGCCCAAGUGACAGGAGGAGCAGAGAUGACCCUGCGGUGGCCCUAGGGCCCUUUGCUGUUCCUCCUUAACCAGAAUCCCAGCUCUCUGGGCCUGUGGGUCCUGCUCUGUUUAGUUUUUAGCACUUCUUACCAGAGUAGUGACAGCAUGAGAGACACUUCUGGGUGGGAAUAUUUAAAUCAGGAGUAAAAGAAACGUUGGAAGAUGAUGAUUGCAGUUGUGACUGGAGAUUAGACACAGAAAAGAAAGCGUGGAGCUCCGGGCUUGUCUGCAUUUUCAGGCUCACGGCUCUCCCUAGCGUCUGCCCCACGGUGUUUCCCCGUAACAGAAAUAGAGAAAAGGAGGAGGGGGAAAAGCUUAUGAAGAAGGUAUUUCAUGUAGGAGUUGUAAUUUAUUUUGUGAUGCCUGUUUUAAUCACUGUAGAGAAGCCCCCCAUUAUGAAUUUAAAUGCUAAGGAAAAGGUGUAUGU
rnacentral:lncRNA from 1 species